CAUCUACUCCCUCUGUUCUGAAUUAUUUGUCAUAGGUAUAAAUGUAUCUAGAUGUAUUUUAGUUCUAGAUACAUCCAUUUCCGUAACGAGUAAUUUGAAACGGAGGGAGUAUGUG
rnacentral:pre_miRNA from 1 species